rnacentral:lncRNA from 1 species
UCUCCAAGAUAUUAAGCUCAAAUUAUACCUCUGGCCUCCAAUAUUUUACUCAUAGCUCGUCUCAGGUUUCAUAGUUUUGUCCAGGUCAACAACUUAUAUGUUGGUAUUUGUCCUCGGUCUUCAACUUACAUCCNGAGUCGCGGAAGAUGAUGCCGAAGAGGCUGAGUCGAGGAAGACGAUGAUGGUAAAGCCGAUGCUGAAGUGGUUGAGUCGACGAAAACGAUGCUGCUGAAGCCGAUGCUCGUACCUUCUACCACGCCUUAGAUGAGGAUGAGGCGCACCCUGAUGGUGAAGAUAAUUCUUCCAAUUGUUGUUGAACAAGGAUCUCAACUCUGCAGACGUUUGAGUUAUAGGCUAAUUGGGGGCGCCUCAUGUUCCCUCCCGCUCUUCUAAUCUUCAUGUAAACCAUAUUUAUGUAGAAUCAGUCAAAUAUGUCUUCUUCCUACAACAGGGCGCGCCCUCAACAAGGGUCCCUCUGGACGCAGUCGGACAGAUGGGCGCGGCCUGACAGGUGGCCGAGGCCUGAAAUGUGGGCGUAGCCUGACAGGUGGCCGAGGCCUGACAGGUGGGCGCGGCCUGACAUGCGGGCGCGACUUGACAGGUGACCGAGGCCUGACAAGUGUGCGCGGCCUGACAUGUGGACGCGGCCUGGCAUGUGGCCAUGGCCUGACAUCAAGUGGACGCGGCAUGUAAUGUGGACGCGCCCUGGCAAGUGGGCGCGGCCUGUCAUGUGAUCCAGCCCAAUCUUGAAUAUGUCAGCCCAAAAUAGUUUUCCACCUAAAGCGCGCCCUUACUAGAGGUUCUUCUGGACGUGGCCAGAUAUGUGGGCGCGCCUACAUAUGAUUGGAGGCCUAACAACCGAGUGAUUGGAGGUCUUUCAUGGAGGCGCCUGUUAAGUUGGCGGCGCCAGUUAAGUGGGCGCGCCCACUUACUGAGCAGCCUAAUUCUGACCAUGUCCGGGCCCAAACAACAUAUCUCCGGUUUUCUAGUGGAUUUGUCUCAUUAGGCAAUCUCAUGUCUUCCUUCCAUCAAGGCGCUCCCAGAUUUUGGGUCUUCUUGGAGGAGCCAAAUAAGUGGGCGCGACCACAUUCUAAGCGGCCUCCAUCAAGUGCUUGUUGAUUUUUUGGUAACUUUCUCUCCCGGCUAGUUGAAUGCCUUGUAAUGGUAUUUUGAAGUUUUGAUCAUUUCUGAAGGCGCGCCUAGAACAAAUGUCGUCUCCAAGAUAUUAAGCUCAAAUUAUACCUCUGGCCUCCAAUAUUUUACUCAUAGCUCGUCUCAGGUUUCAUAGUUUUGUCCAGGUCAACAACUUAUAUGUUGGUAUUUGUCCUCGGUCUUCAACUUACAUCCUGCGUCUUGUUCUAGGUCUUUGGGCUUCGACUUGCAUUCUCGGUCUUGUUCUGGAUCUUCGGUCUUCGACCUGUAUCCUUGGGCUUGUCUUGCGCCUUCAACCUGUAUCUAAGAGCAUGUCCAGGGUUUCCGACCCGAACUCGGAACUUAUCUUGUGUCUCCGACCUGCAC